CACGUAGGGUGCAAGCGUUGUCCGGAAUUAUUGGGCGUAAAGAGCUCGUAGGCGGUCUGUUACGUCGGCUGUGAAAACCCGAGGCUCAACCUCGGGCCUGCAGUCGAUACGGGCAGGCUAGAGUUCGGUAGGGGAGACUGGAAUUCCUGGUGUAGCGGUGAAAUGCGCAGAUAUCAGGAGGAACACCGGUGGCGAAGGCGGGUCUCUGGGCCGAAACUGACGCUGAGGAGCGAAAGCGUGGGGAGCGAACAGG
rnacentral:rRNA from 1 species